rnacentral:rRNA from 1 species
GAGGUUUGAUCCUGGCUCAGAACGAACGCUGGCGGCGUGGAUAAGACAUGCAAGUCGAACGCGAUUUUCUCGGUUAGCAAUAACUGAGGAGAUUGAGUGGCGAAUGGGUGCGUAACACGUGGGAAUUUAUCCGGAAGUGGGGGAUAGCUCGUCGAAAGGCGAAUUAAUACCGCAUAUGCCUGUAAGGGCAAAGUGGGGGACCGUAAGGCCUCACGCUAUCGGAGGAGCCCGCGCCCUAUCAGCUAGUUGGUGAGGUAAUGGCUCACCAAGGCUUAGACGGGUAGCUGGUCUGAGAGGACGACCAGCCACACUGGAACUGAGACACGGUCCAGACACCUACGGGUGGCAGCAGUCGAGGAUUUUUCUCAAUGGGGGCAACCCUGAAGGAGCGACGCCGCGUGGAGGAUGAAGGGCUUCGGCUCGUAAACUCCUGUCACCGACGAACAAGGCAUCCGGAUUAAUAAAUCGGAUGCUUGAUGGUAGUCGGAGAGGAAGGGGCGGCUAACUCUGUGCCAGCAGCCGCGGUGAUACAGAGGCCCCAAGCGUUGUUCGGAUUUACUGGGCGUAAAGGGUGUGUAGGGGGUCGUGUAAGUUUGACGUGAAAUCCCGUUGCUCAACAACGGAACUGCGUCGAAUACUACUCGGCUGGAGGUUCGGAGAUGAGGGCGGAAUUCUCGGUGUAGCGGUGAAAUGCGUAGAUAUCGAGAGGAACGCCGAUGGCGAAAGCAGCCCUCAAGACGAAAUCUGACCCUGAAACACGAAGGCCAGGGGAGCAAACGGGAUUAGAUACCCCGGUAGUCCUGGCAGUAAACGGUGCUCAUUAGAUGUAGGCGGAUUCGACCCCGCCUGUGUCGAACCUAACGGAUUAAAUGAGCCGCCUGGGAAGUACGGUCGCAAGAUUAAAACUCAAAGAAAUUGACGGGGGCCCGCACAAGCGGUGGAGUAUGUGGCUUAAUUCGAUGCAACGCGAAGAACCUUACCUGGCCUUGACAUGCUUAGUUCAAGCGUGGAAACACGCUGGCCCGCAAGGGCGAUUUGCACAGGUGCUGCAUGGCUGUCGUCAGCUCGUGUCGUGAGAUGUUGGGUUAAGUCCCGCAACGAGCGCAACCCAA